rnacentral:sRNA from 1 species
AUGUACGGCGCUUACACUGUGGUUCCUCCGCGCCACCCGCACCCACCUGGCGACUGCUCGCGACGUUUUGUUGGCA